rnacentral:misc_RNA from 1 species
GUAUGCCCACAUUAUAAGGUUGAUAUUGAAAUAGCAUUGCUUGUUUCCCUUUCAAUCCUUCUGAAACUGAUCCAAGCUUUUAAUAAAUCUCUUUACAUUGUCAUAUCAAUCUCAACAUGCUUAUUCGUACCUAUUAAAUAGCAUUUAUUUUUCAUGGGCUUGGUUGUUGGAUGACAAUUGAUAAUACUACAAAGAGAUCUCCAAAUGUUAACUUUUUUUAGGGGAAUUUCAUUUUUAACUUAAU